UACAGAGGCCUCGAGCGUUAGGCGGAAUCACUGGGCUUAAAGCGCGUGUAGGCGGAUCGUUAAGUGUCUUGUGAAAUCCCACGGCUCAACCGUGGAACUGCUGGGCAUACUGGCGAUCUUGGGCCACUCAGGGGCGACCGGAACAAGCGGUGGAGCGGUGAAAUGCGUAGAUAUCAUUUGGAACGCCAAAGGUGAAAACAGGUAGCUGGGGCUGUGCUGACACUGAGACACGAAAGCCAGGGGAGCAAACGGG
rnacentral:rRNA from 1 species